GGGUUGUGAGGUUAAGCGACUAAGCGUACACGGUGGAUGCCCUGGCAGUCAGAGGCGAUGAAGGACGUGCUAAUCUGCGAUAAGCGUCGGUAAGGUGAUAUGAACCGUUAUAACCGGCGAUUUCCGAAUGGGGAAACCCAGUGUGAUUCGUCACACUAUCAUUAACUGAAUCCAUAGGUUAAUGAGGCGAACCGGGGGAACUGAAACAUCUAAGUACCCCGAGGAAAAGAAAUCAACCGAGAUUCCCCCAGUAGCGGCGAGCGAACGGGGAGCAGCCCAGAGCCUGAAUCAGUGUGUGUGUUAGUGGAAGCGUCUGGAAAGGCGUGCGAUACAGGGUGACAGCCCCGUACACAAAAAUGCACAUACUGUGAGCUCGAUGAGUAGGGCGGGACACGUGGUAUCCUGUCUGAAUAUGGGGGGACCAUCCUCCAAGGCUAAAUACUCCUGACUGACCGAUAGUGAACCAGUACCGUGAGGGAAAGGCGAAAAGAACCCCGGCGAGGGGAGUGAAAAAGAACCUGAAACCGUGUACGUACAAGCAGUGGGAGCACGCUUAGGCGUGUGACUGCGUACCUUUUGUAUAAUGGGUCAGCGACUUAUAUUCUGUAGCAAGGUUAACCGAAUAGGGGAGCCGAAGGGAAACCGAGUCUUAACUGGGCGUUAAGUUGCAGGGUAUAGACCCGAAACCCGGUGAUCUAGCCAUGGGCAGGUUGAAGGUUGGGUAACACUAACUGGAGGACCGAACCGACUAAUGUUGAAAAAUUAGCGGAUGACUUGUGGCUGGGGGUGAAAGGCCAAUCAAACCGGGAGAUAGCUGGUUCUCCCCGAAAGCUAUUUAGGUAGCGCCUCGUGAAUUCAUCUCCGGGGGUAGAGCACUGUUUCGGCAAGGGGGUCAUCCCGACUUACCAACCCGAUGCAAACUGCGAAUACCGGAGAAUGUUAUUACGGGAGACACACGGCGGGUGCUAACGUCCGUCGUGAAGAGGGAAACAACCCAGACCGCCAGCUAAGGUCCCAAAGUCAUGGUUAAGUGGGAAACGAUGUGGGAAGGCCCAGACAGCCAGGAUGUUGGCUUAGAAGCAGCCAUCAUUUAAAGAAAGCGUAAUAGCUCACUGGUCGAGUCGGCCUGCGCGGAAGAUGUAACGGGGCUAAACCAUGCACCGAAGCUGCGGCAGCGACGCUUAUGCGUUGUUGGGUAGGGGAGCGUUCUGUAAGCCUGUGAAGGUGUGCUGUGAGGUAUGCUGGAGGUAUCAGAAGUGCGAAUGCUGACAUAAGUAACGAUAAAGCGGGUGAAAAGCCCGCUCGCCGGAAGACCAAGGGUUCCUGUCCAACGUUAAUCGGGGCAGGGUGAGUCGACCCCUAAGGCGAGGCCGAAAGGCGUAGUCGAUGGGAAACAGGUUAAUAUUCCUGUACUUGGUGUUACUGCGAAGGGGGACGGAGAAGGCUAUGUUGGCCGGGCGACGGUUGUCCCGGUUUAAGCGUGUAGGCUGGUUUUCCAGGCAAAUCCGGAAAAUCAAGGCCGAGGCGUGAUGACGAGGCACUACGGUGCUGAAGCAACAAAUGCCCUGCUUCCAGGAAAAGCCUCUAAGCAUCAGGUAACAUCAAAUCGUACCCCAAACCGACACAGGUGGUCAGGUAGAGAAUACCAAGGCGCUUGAGAGAACUCGGGUGAAGGAACUAGGCAAAAUGGUGCCGUAACUUCGGGAGAAGGCACGCUGAUACGUAGGUGAAGCGACUUGCUCGUGGAGCUGAAAUCAGUCGAAGAUACCAGCUGGCUGCAACUGUUUAUUAAAAACACAGCACUGUGCAAACACGAAAGUGGACGUAUACGGUGUGACGCCUGCCCGGUGCCGGAAGGUUAAUUGAUGGGGUUAGCGCAAGCGAAGCUCUUGAUCGAAGCCCCGGUAAACGGCGGCCGUAACUAUAACGGUCCUAAGGUAGCGAAAUUCCUUGUCGGGUAAGUUCCGACCUGCACGAAUGGCGUAAUGAUGGCCAGGCUGUCUCCACCCGAGACUCAGUGAAAUUGAACUCGCUGUGAAGAUGCAGUGUACCCGCGGCAAGACGGAAAGACCCCGUGAACCUUUACUAUAGCUUGACACUGAACAUUGAGCCUUGAUGUGUAGGAUAGGUGGGAGGCUUUGAAGUGUGGACGCCAGUCUGCAUGGAGCCGACCUUGAAAUACCACCCUUUAAUGUUUGAUGUUCUAACGUGGACCCGUGAUCCGGGUUGCGGACAGUGUCUGGUGGGUAGUUUGACUGGGGCGGUCUCCUCCUAAAGAGUAACGGAGGAGCACGAAGGUUGGCUAAUCCUGGUCGGACAUCAGGAGGUUAGUGCAAUGGCAUAAGCCAGCUUGACUGCGAGCGUGACGGCGCGAGCAGGUGCGAAAGCAGGUCAUAGUGAUCCGGUGGUUCUGAAUGGAAGGGCCAUCGCUCAACGGAUAAAAGGUACUCCGGGGAUAACAGGCUGAUACCGCCCAAGAGUUCAUAUCGACGGCGGUGUUUGGCACCUCGAUGUCGGCUCAUCACAUCCUGGGGCUGAAGUAGGUCCCAAGGGUAUGGCUGUUCGCCAUUUAAAGUGGUACGCGAGCUGGGUUUAGAACGUCGUGAGACAGUUCGGUCCCUAUCUGCCGUGGGCGCUGGAGAACUGAGGGGGGCUGCUCCUAGUACGAGAGGACCGGAGUGGACGCAUCACUGGUGUUCGGGUUGUCAUGCCAAUGGCACUGCCCGGUAGCUAAAUGCGGAAGAGAUAAGUGCUGAAAGCAUCUAAGCACGAAACUUGCCCCGAGAUGAGUUCUCCCUGACCCUUUAAGGGUCCUGAAGGAACGUUGAAGACGACGACGUUGAUAGGCCGGGUGUGUAAGCGCAGCGAUGCGUUGAGCUAACCGGUACUAAUGAACCGUGAGGCUUAACCUUACAACGCCGAAG
rnacentral:rRNA from 1 species